CUUGUACUCCCUUCGUCCGGAAAUACUUGUCAUUGAAAUGGAUGUAUCUAGAUGUAUUUUAGUUCUAGACACAUCCAUUUUGAUGACAAGUAAUUCCGGACGGAGGGAGUACUUG
rnacentral:pre_miRNA from 1 species